CCCCGUGUCAGACUGCACGUGGGAACGCGGGAGGGAUGCGUGGCUGGGACCCGGGAGCAGGGAAAGAGGCUCCUCGGCUCGGACGCGCCUCGGGCAGGCGGGCGGGGGGCUCCCUGUCCUGCUGCUGCCCGCCUGGGGCUCGGGAGCCGGGGGAGCAGCAGCCCUUUCCCCGCGCCUUCUACGUGCCGAGGGUCGGCCUGGGGAGAGAGCGGGACCCGGCGGCUCCUGCCUUCGCUCUCGUUUUGAUCAGCGCAAACGAUUUCCCUCCAGGCUCGUCUCUCCUGAAUCUGAGCGGUGGUGGGAUAGAGGCGGGGAGCUUCGCUGGCGCUUUGGCUUAUGCCGUCGUCUGGAACCUUUUGGGCCAGGGCAGUCCCUCGAGGAAAGGCACGAAACCAAUGCAUGAGAAAGCAGGGCUCAUGCACAGCCUGGACAAACUGGAGACAUUACACAAGGAAAAGAGCUUGGAUUCUCCAAAUGGCAGCCUGCACCUGAGUGAUGCCAUAAAGGAGGAGGAGCUAAAGAAAUGCCGCAGCGAAGUCACGCCUCCAAAUAAAUACAACUCUCAGUACCACAAGUUGUUCAAGGACAUCCCUACCGAGGAGAGUGUGCUGAAAGUCUGCUCCUGUGCUCUCCAGAGAGACAUCCUUAUCCAAGGCCGCCUCUACAUCUCCCCAAACUGGCUCUGUUUCUAUGCGAACCUUUUUGGGAAGGAUAUCAAGGUUGUCAUUCCUGUCGUCUCUGUCCAACUGAUAAAAAAGCACAAAACAGCUCGCCUGCUGCCAAAUGGACUCGCUAUCACCACCAAUGCCAGCCGAAAGUACAUCUUUGUGUCCCUGAUCUCUAGAGACAGUGUGUACGAUGUGCUGCGGAGAGUCUGCACCCACUUGCAGGUCUCAAGCAAAAAGAGCCUGAGCUUGAAGGAACUGACUGAAGAGCCUGACACGGUUUCACUGGAGGUGAUUGUCCCAGAAGUGAAGUGGAGGAAGGGCUCGCCGGCUUCGUUGUCCCUGGCCCUCCCAGAUGCAGGCUUCCAGUGCAUCCACCGGGCAUCUAUCAGCAGCCUCAGCACAAAGGAGAGCUCUUGUAACUCAGAGGAGCCCCUAGUAUCAGAAAGUGCAAUAAACACUGAAGAGGAGUUAGAGGUGGAGCAGAGCUACCAAGCAGAGUUGAGGCCAUCUGAUUAUCAGCUGCUGAAAAUCUUCAUUGUCUUGAUCUGCCUCCUGGUGGUGUCCUCCUCCUACCUGGCUUUUCGCAUCUUCCGCCUGGAGCAGCAGCUCUGCUCUUUGAACCGGGACUAUCUCUCGCGUGUGCCCCGGAGGUAGGAAAGCCUUCCGAAGCCCAGCGAGUGUCUGCAGAGGAGCCCUUUCUCGGGGUGACUGUGGGCUCAAUAAAGACAACAAUGGAGAAAACAGUGCCCGCGAACAUAGAUCUGUGUUGUGUCCAAGGAGUUAACACGACUGCUGUGAAACCAGAGCAAAUGAGCCCCAUGCUCUUCCUCUGUGUUCCUCCUGGACCAAAGCUCUCUGCUUCCGGUGGCGAAAUCUAGAAGUGCUUUCUUGCCGUCAGCAACCCAUUGGGAUGCUUGGCCAACAGUAGCCAAUGCAGCAGCUUCCAGAUGUUGUUGGGUGAUGACAUUCAUUGCCCCUGGCUGUUGGCGGGAGUCCAGCAACAUCUAGAGGGGACCGUGCUGACUGCCAAACUAGCUGUACAAGGGCAGCAGUGGUGUUUGUGAGAGUUGCCAAGGGUUGCCAGUGCAAUAUCGUCUCCAUUGAUGGUGUCUCUGGCCAUACCUUCCAAAGGCCACUGAAGACGUUGGGUAGCUUGCUCUCUAGAGCGGCAAGAAAAUUUGGAACUGCAGGGCUUCCUCUGAGGCUCCCCUUUGUAUUUCAGAACUGCAAUGUCUUCCCAGGGCUUUGCUCCAGAAGGGCUGACUGUUACCACCAGCAAACUUUUGUGGCUGGUCCUCUUUCACAUCCUAAUGCAUCCUAGCAAGGUCUGGAGAAGUAGCUGGGUUCUCUUCUAGGAGGACUCUGAACUGCUGCUAGUUCUCGUUGCUUUCUUUCCCCUGGAGGAACGGGGCAGCGGGAGAAAGUUGAUGAUGGAUUUUUUUUUGCUGCGGCGAAAAGCUCUGCUUUGGAAGAAAGAUGGACGUAUCCUUUGCCCAAGGCAGUGAAAUCAUCUCCAUUAGAAUCCAUCUUCUUUCACUUACAGGAUUCCUGUUGUCCAGGGAAUGCUGCUGGAGCAAUUCUUGUGGCCCUGCAAAAUUACUGUAACUGCUGCAGCAAUGUUCAGCUAAGGGACCCUGUGAACUGCCAGGCAGGCCCUGAACACUCAUGGAAAGAUGCCAUGGGUAUGCACUUUCUGGGGACAGAUAUGACUUAGUGGUGCAUAUGGCCCUCGAAGCACUUUACGUGGUUCUGCCCCACUUAACCCAAGGGCUUUGCAGCUUGGCACUGACACAAGGAAGCAGAGACAGAGGUAAAGCAAGCUGAUUGCGCCAUUUCUUUGUCGCUGGGGAGGUUUGUGGCCCUUUGCAGAUGCGCCAGUUCUCUGCUUGUUGAAAGCAGGUGGAGCCAAGGCCGUGCCCCCUUCCAUCGUUCUGCAGCACAACAACACAAGACAGCUCUCUGAACCCCAAGCCCUUGAGAGGCCAAUUCAUAUGCAGGCUUGGAGUCAGCCAUCUGCAUCCCUAGCCAUGGAAGCCUUGAAUGGCUUGUAAAGAUGACUUGGGCUGCGAUUGGGGGCAGAGGGAGAGGACUUGUCUGCCCCCAUCAGUGCUACUGCCCUGGACAAACUGGGAGAGUUGGCCAAGGGUAGAAUCAUAGAGGCAGAACAUCCAGGGAGCAGUUAAGAACAUCGGAAGAACCCUGAUGGGUAACUGUGAGAAGCCCCACUGGAUCACCGGGAAGCCAUGAUCCUUGCCCGUGAGAGUGAGGACCAUGCUGAAGAAGCUUGGUUGUCUUCGCAAGCAAAGUUCUCCAAGGUGGACUUGAGGCCACGUGAAUGAACGCCUCUCUAGCACAGACUAAAUGAAUGAACGAGUGUGUGAGCUAGUGUGUGGCCUUUGGAUACAGAGCAAGCAGACCACUUUGGGAAUGGUCCCGUUCAGAAGGAAGUGGGCCCUGCCUGUGGGAUUAAGGGUGUUGCUUUUCAAGCUUCCUGCUUUCUGAGAACCCUUUCCUUGUGGUCUGGUCUGCUGGGAAAAUUCCUUCACAUCUUCCAGUGGACCACCUUGAGUGUCAUGUAAAGAUUUCAGCGCAUGUUGCUGGGUAUAAAGUCAUCUUUGGUGACAUGUCGGUUCUUGGGGCUCAGGAUUGUGUGUGGUGACUGUGCAGCAAGCCAGAGGAGCUUCUUGGGGAGGGGGCAGAAUUUAGCCGGGGGUGGGGGUAGAUGGAGGCAGGGUGGCGUGUUGGUCCUUUAUGUUUGGUGCUCCACUUCAGAUAGCAACGUCUUGGAAUUGCACCCAGGAAAUUGCACCCAUGUGCCAGCAUCUUGCAGGGAAAGGAAGGCCAUCCUCUAGGGACGCUUGUCUGCCAUUCUUGGUCUUCUUAUUGAGGGAACGCCUGGGUCCCUCAGCACACAGUUUGAAAAACAUUGCAUUAAAGGAACAUGUUCUCAUACCUAGGGACAGUUCCAGGUUUGAAAGGGCUGCAUUCUGAUGGGAGCCCCCCACAUCCGACAGGGGGACUACUGGCAGUCCUAGGCCACAUCCAAACCAAAUACUUUUCAGAACUAUGAUAGCAGUUGUGGCUUCCCCCAAAGAAUCCUGGGAACUGUAGUUCGAGCACUAGAGUUACUGUUCUUAAGAGCUGUUUUACAAUUCCUUUCCCCUAGGAGUUCUGGGUAAUUGUAACCCUGUGAAGGGAACAGGGGUCUCCCGACAACUCUCAGCACCCUUAACCAACCACAGUUCCCACGUUCCUUUGGGGAGGAAUCCUAUAAAGUGGUAUGAAAGUUCUUUACAUGUGUGGUGCGGAUGUAAAGGGCCCAAGUGGGUUUAUCUGGCUGUGGCGGUGCUUGGAUCAGUGACGGAGGCUGGGCUGGCGCCUCUGGAAGAUGCUGUCGAAAUUUCCCAGAAUGCCCUGGGGUGACACUGUUGUGUGUAUUUUCAUGAGUGUGUCUGUGGGAAAUGGAAGCUUUCAUACAGUGCUGACCUGAUGACUAGAGAUUUUUUUGGUGGGGGGCCAGGGCAGGUAUUCUAAUUUCUGCAGCUCCAGGACUGCUUGAAUGAGCAAGGUUCAGGAGGCCCAGCUGGUCUGGCUGUGGCAUGUCGUUCUGAAAAAGCACACCCCGUCUGUGUUCUCCUCUUCUUUCCCUGCUCCCAGUGCCAGAAGUUUACUGGGCUGCUGGACAGCCAGUUGGCUUCUUUCUUAGCAAUAACGUCUCAGGUGUUCCUCUUCUUUUUAAUCAGACCUCCCAUCUCGUGGGAGGUAAAUGUAAUAUUUGUGCUGAUUAUGAUGAUGAUUACUAUUUUGGAAUGAGCUGCUAAGACAAAGUCCUUUUGUUUACUGGAGAGUUGUCUUGGCUGUGGGGUCCUGGUCUCUCGGCAGUGGGCACCACAAGGUGUGUUUGUGUGUCCAGGGUCUGAGGGGCAGGUUGAGGCAAGCAGCCUCAGGAAGUGCCAAGAAAACCCGAUUUCUAGCAAGGCGGUUGUGUGCUGCAUUUUCUAUCACUCCCUGUAAGUCUGUGUUCGAGCAUAAUGGUUCAGAGCAUGAGCUAUGAGCCAGAAGGCCCCAGUUCAAAUCUCAGCUGAGCUAUGAAUUUGCUGGUUGGCCUUUGGUGAGCUGCUGUCUCUCAGUUCUUGGGAGCCCUUUUCUUUUCUCUAAUUUUGGGAAUAACAGUACUGGCCUACCUUACAGGGAUGUUGUAAGGAUUUCAAGGUAAUGUAAAGCGCUUUGAACACUUUGGGAAAGCGCUCUAUAAAUACUAAGUAUUAUCAUUAGUGUUAUUCAGUGUAAGCAACGAUUCUAUUUUUCCUUGUCCUUUCCUUUUCUAAAGUUCAGAACAAUUGCACAAAUA